rnacentral:rRNA from 1 species
AUGAUUACUGUGCUAUGCAACUUCCAUUCGCGAGGGGGGGCUGUGUUUACACAUCAUACCAUGGGUUUCAUGAAUCACCAUAUCCAGAGAUUCGUCGACACAGCUUGUUGCCAGUCGAAGAAGGAUUGGCCGGUGCUGCCGGCUGGCCUCAAGUUCGAUCCCACGGAUCAGGAGCUGAUCGAGCACCUUGAGGCCAAAGUGAGUAUUGAUAGCGCGAGAUUUCAGUCUCUCAUCAAUUUGUUCAUACCAACCAUCGACAGCGAGCACGGCAUAUGCUACACCCAACCUGAAAAACUUCCAGCAAAAAAGGUUCUGGUGCUGCACACCAACAAGAACUUCGACCAGCAGAGGACCAACUGGAUGAUGCACCAAUACCACAUCGGGGACCUGGAGCAAGAGAAGGAGCGGGAGCUGGUCCUCUGCAAGAUUUUCUAUCAGACGAACACUAGGGCAGGAGUAGUUUGGUCGAGCAAGUUUCAACUGGGUUGUAGACUGACCAAGGUUGGUUUUGUUUUUAACAGGCCCAGCCCAUGA